CCUACGGGAGGCAGCAGUGGGGAAUAUUGCGCAAUGGGCGAAAGCCUGACGCAGCGACGCCGCGUGAGGGAUGAAGGUCUUCGGAUCGUAAACCUCUGUCAGCAGGGAAGAACGGUCACUGUGCUAAUCAGCAGUGAAUUGACGGUACCUGCAAAGGAAGCACCGGCUAACUCAGUGCCAGCAGCCGCGGUAAUAAGGAGGGUGCGGGCGUUAAUCGGAAUUACUGGGGGUAAAGCGCUCGUAGGCGGUAUGUCAAGUCAUGGGGGAAAUGCCCGCGGUCAACGUGGGAACUGCGUUUGAAACUGGCAAACUUGAGUGUGUGAGAGGAUAGUGGAAUUCCAGGUGUAGGAGUGAAAUGCGUAGAUAUCUGGAGGAACAUCAGUGGCGAAGGCGACUAUCUGGCACAUAACUGACGCUGAGGAGCGAAAGCGUGGGUAGCAAACAGGAUUAGAUACCCGAGUAGUC
rnacentral:rRNA from 1 species